rnacentral:rRNA from 2 species
UACGUAGGGGGCGAGCGUUGUCCGGAAUUACUGGGCGUAAAGGGUGCGUAGGUGGCCUUUUAAGUUGGAUGUGAAAUACCCGGGCUUAACCUGGGGGGUGCAUCUAAUACUGGAAGGCUAGAGUGCAGGAGAGGAAAGCGGAAUUCCUAGUGUAGCGGUGAAAUGCGUAGAUAUUAGGAGGAACACCAGUGGCGAAGGCGGCUUUCUGGACUGUAACUGACACUGAGGCACGAAAGCGUGGGGAGCAAAC